UUUCGAAAGCACGUUUGUUUCUUCAUUCAAUCAAAUGUAGUAAAUCUUACAACACUAAUAACAUACAGGUACACUUAUAUUCAGAAUGUUAUAAUUUCGCACAAUAACAGCUAAAGAAACUAAUUUUCUUUGACAGAAUCUUGAAAGGAAAUGUGCGGGUGUCUGGUUUGAGUGGGAACAGUGAGAGUGGAGAAACAACCCCACACACACCCAAAUUUGAAGUGAUAAUGGUAACAAGAGCAAUGAAACCCACAGCAAUGAUUGUCCCCGCCGCUGCUCACAAAAUUAAGAAAAGACUCUGCACUCUGGAGUAAGGCAAAACGCUGCUGCUUAUAGUUCAGUACAGUAUUUUUCACUUUGGUCUUUGAUAAAAGCACCUGGCUCUCUAAAGUCCCUUCCACUGUCCACAGAACACACUAUUCCUCCAUUUUUAAGCACUACAAAACAAUCCUCCAUCCUCCACUUUGCUAACUCCACUCUCUUUCAAUUCCUCCUUACUGUGUUAGCUUACCAUGAGAAGUUGCACCAGAGCCACUCUGACACUUGAACUAGAAGAAGAGGAAGAAGAUGGACAAAAGUAUAACGCAACAAGAAGUAAGAUCGAUUGAUAUUUUCUUUUCCUUUUCUAUUAUAGAUAAGCUACGCUAACUAUCUUUGUUUGUGGACAAACGUACGUUUUUAUUAGUGAGCUCUUGCAGUACCAAGAGCCUGCUGCAGAAGCUGGAGAACAUUGAUGAGAAUGCUCCUGCUUCAUGGGGAGGAUAUUCCACAUCAUCUUCUGCUCCACCUCCUGAGACUCCGACCGAGUCCAUGGAGUUUCUAGCUAGAUCAUGGAGUCUUUCCGCCAUGGAGCUCUCCAAAGCUCUUUCCACACAUCCACCUCCUCCUCCUGCUUGUCUCCACAACUUGCCCACUAAUCCUCCAAAACCUGUUGAUCAAUGCCGGGAUGCAAGUUCUGCAGCUGGACGUGCAUCUGUAAGAAAAUUUAAGUUGGAUGUUGUAUUAUGGGCAGAGAGAUCAAGAAAUGUCUACGUUUACUAAUAGUUAAUUUGUUACUUCAUGUUUUGGGACUGAAACUCUUUACCUAGCAGUUGGUAAGUGGCGGAGGUGCUGCUAGUCCCCCUAUCUCUCCGAGAGAUAGUGAAGAACUUAAGGUACUACUUCUCCAGUAAGUGCUGACUCAUAACAAAAACACUGUUGACAGAAAAGACCGUAUGUGCAGGAAUUAAUUCUACUUCAUCAAGCACUCAAUCCAGAAUUCAUUUAUAGUCAACAGUUGCUCAAACAUGGGGUGGGUAACUCACGUAUAAUCUUCAUGUAGUAGAGAAUUUAACUUAUUGAACGGAGUUACACAGUCCUGUUCAUGUCGGUAUUUUGGCUAUGCAGUUAUAUAAGAGCAUCAUGAAAGGAAGAACAAUGGGGAGGCGGAUGAAGGAUCACAAAGAAAGAAAGAAGCAGGAGAUCAGGACGCAUAAUGCCCAAGUUCAUGCUGCUCUGACUGUAGCUGGAGUUGCUGCGGCCGUUGCUGCAUUAACAGCAUCAAGUGCAAUGUCAGCAGAAUUAGCAGCUGCAAAGGGCAGCAAGACAUUGUCGUCCAAAACACCGGCUGCCAUGGCAUCUGCAGCAGCCCUUGUAGCAUCUCACUGCAUUGAGAUAGCAGAGGACAUGGGGGCUGAACAUGAACAGAUCUCUACUGUCAUUGACUCGGCAAUCAAUGUCAGGACAAAUGGAGAUAUCAUGACUCUAACAGCUGGAGCAGCUACAGGUAUCUGACUACUAAUUCAGUUGUGAACUUUAACAAGUUCUAUAUCUGAAGAGAGCCUAGACUCAUUUGAAUCGCUACAUGUCAGAAAGUUAUACAAGAAUAUUCACUUGCUAAUCCAAAAGCUCUUUAUCUCAUACAGCAUUAAGAGGAGCUGCCACCCUGAGGGCACGGCUGCAGAAAGGGUAUGGAGGUCCAGCAUUUGCGUUGGCAGAGGACAAGGAUGAAGAAGGCGGUGAAUCCAAAUUCUCAGCAGCAUUGAAAUUUGUAACUGUAGGGGACGAACUACUAAAGCAGACAAGGAAAGGUACUUUUUACUACCCAAUGAUACAAGGGUUCGAUACUAACUUGAAGUAGCACUGGAGUUCAACUCAUAGUUUGUAACUAUAAUUGUUGAUGGGCAGGAGCUCUACACUGGAAACGAGUUUCUUUCAGUAUAAAUGCAAGCUGCCAGGUUUGAAAGCGGAUACCAACUGAUUAAUCUGAGCAAUUUCUGAAGUUCUUCUCUUCGAAAACCGUCUAAAUAAAAGGAGUUCAUAUCUAGAUAUGAUUGACUAACAAAAGGGUUUCUUGGUGUACUCACCAAACAGGUGGUAGCUAAAAUGAAAAGCAAACACAUGGCAGGGACAUUCACAAAGAAAAAGAAAUGUAAGCUAAAUUCCUCAACCUCAUGACUGAAAUAAUUACCUUAGUUCUCUACUCAUCAAUAGAUGCAAGUUAUGCCUCAUCUGCAGGUGUAGUUUUUGGAGUUCAGAGUGAAAUUGGGGCAUGGCCAGGGCGAAAUACUGAUGGCUGUAAUGAGCAGAGAGCUUACUUUGGGAUUAAAACAGCAGAAAGAACUAUUGAGUUCGAAUGUAGGAGCCAAAUGGACAAGCAGAUGUGGGUUGAGGCUAUAAAUCAUUUGCUAGAUUGUCGUGCCAACUUUACAUGAAAUCUGAAACAAGAAAAGGGCUUUCAAUCCUGGAGUGCAACUAAAAGUUUAUUUUAAGAUCUGCCUCAUUUAUAAACAAAUGUCAAGGGUUUUACGAGAACUUGUUAGUCAGAAAAUGUACAGGUGCUCAGUCAUGUUCUGCAUAUGAUGUGUAAAAAUUUCUUGCUCAAAGUCAAAAUAUGAAAUUGUGAAAUGGCAAUGGAUGGUUGUUGGUUUAUGGAUUCUCUUUAAGGAAGCCUAUAACAGCUGCAAAGAAAGGAUGGG
rnacentral:lncRNA from 1 species